UUGAUGCUUGCAUCUUUUAAAAAGUUGAGUGGCCAACGGGUGAGUAACACGUGGGUAACCUACCUUAAAGUGGGGGAUAACACUUGGAAACAGGUGCUAAUACCGCAUAACCAUCAAAACCGCCUGGUUUUGAUGUUAAAGAUGGUUCUGCUAUCGCUUUAAGAUGGACCCGCGGCGUAUUAGCUAGUUGGUGAGGUAACGGCUUACCAAGGCAAUGAUACGUAGCCGAACUGAGAGGUUGAUCGGCCACAUUGGGACUGAGACACGGCCCAAACUCCUACGGGAGGCAGCAGUAGGGAAUCUUCCACAAUGGACGAAAGUCUGAUGGAGCAACGCCGCGUGAGUGAAGAAGGUUUUCGGAUCGUAAAACUCUGUUGUCAGAGAAGAACGUGUGUGAGAGUAACUGUUCACGCAGUGACGGUAUCUGACCAGAAAGUCACGGCUAACUACGCGCCAGCAGCCGCGGUAAUACGUAGGUGGCAAGCGUUGUCCGGAUUUAUUGGGCGUAAAGGGAACGCAGGCGGUCUUUUAAGUCUGAUGUGAAAGCCUUCGGCUUAACCGAAGUCGGGCAUUGGAAACUGGGAGACUUGAGUGCAGAAGAGGAGAGUGGAACUCCAUGUGUAGCGGUGAAAUGCGUAGAUAUAUGGAAGAACACCAGUGGCGAAAGCGGCUCUCUGGUCUGUAACUGACGCUGAGGUUCGAAAGCGUGGGUAGCAAACAGGAUUAGAUACCCUGGUAGUCCA
rnacentral:rRNA from 1 species